rnacentral:rRNA from 1 species
AAACCGGCGGACGGCUCAGUAACACGUGGACAACNUACCCUUGGGUCCGGGAUAACCCCGGGAAACUGGGGCUAAUACCGGAUGGGACAUCGCUUGCUGGAAUGCAGGAUGUCCGAAAGCUGAGGCGCCCAAGGAUGGGUCUGCGGCCGAUUAGGUAGUUGUUGAUGUAACGGAUCAACAAGCCUACGAUCGGUACGGGUUGUGAGAGCAAUAGCCCGGAGAUGGGUUCUGAGAAAAGAACCCAGGUCCUACGGGACGCAUCAGGCGCGAAAACUUUACAAUGUGCGAAAGCACGAUAAGGGAACUCUGAGUGCCUCCUAAGGAGGCUGUUCAGGUGCCUAAAAAGCACCUGGAGUAAGGGCUGGGUAAGACCGGUGCCAGCCGCCGCGGUAACACCGGCAGCCCAAGUGGUAGCCACUUUUAUUGGGUCUAAAGCGUCCGUAGCCGGUUGAGUAAGUUCCUUGGGAAAUUUGGCUGCUUAACAGUCAAGCUUCCAGGGAAUACUGCUCGACUUGGGACUGGGAGAGGUCAGAGGUACUCCAGGGGUAGGGGUGAAAUCCGUUAAUCCCUGGGGGACCACCGGUAGCGAAGGCGUCUGACCAGACCAGGUCCGACGGUGAGGGACGAAGGCUAGGGUCGCGAACCGGAUUAGAUACCCGGGUAGUCCUAGCAGUAAACGAUGCGGGCUAGGUGUUGGCAUCACUGCGAGUGGUGCCAGUGCCGAAGGGAAGCCGUUAAGCCCGCCAUCUGGGGAGUACGGUCGCAAGGCUGAAACUUAA